GUAGUUCUGAAGAAGCCCAGUUGCGGGAAAGGAGUGAAUGUGGCGGCCCCCAGAGGUGCGCCCAGCUGCUCCUCCGUCUGUGGGCUUUUCCCACGGCCUUCUCAGGAGCGCCGCCCAGCAGCUCCGCUGGAAGUGACUCAUAAAAUCUUAAUAUAGCCCCGAGACUGUCAUGUUUACAGACAGUGCAGCAAAGGCAGUGGCUUGGAGUGUGACCAGAGAGUUUGCAGAACAAACGCACCAGGGAGGGGCUUGGAUGGAAAUAACCAAGCGCUCUCCCCGCAGGGCGUCAGGAAGACAGAAGAAGCUGGACAGAAAGAGAUCAAGAUUUAACUGGUUAUGCUGUAGACCAUGGCAGAUCGUAACAGAAGACAAAGCCCUUAAAAGAAAUGAAACUAUCCUCAUUAAAGGCCUGAUGGCUCACACCAUCCAGGAGAUCUCCUCUGCUACCAACUCCCAGCAGCUGAUUCAGCGGUCCUUCAUGAACAAUAGGCAACUGAACAAGAAAAUGAGUUUAUAUUGUUCAAAAGAAAGAAGAAUGCCUCUUUUUUCCCUUGAACAAGGGAGGUGGAGACUAACAAAAGAUUCUUUGCUUGACCAAACUUUAGUCAGGCUUCUAAAUCUUCCCCUCGGCCCGUCUGUGCACUUCCUUGUGAAAUCCAGUUUUAGCAAAGAACAUUUGUAAGUCAGUUUAGCAAGAACCCACCUCCCCACCCCCAUCCUCAAUAUCUGAUCAGGUUGCUCAGUUGCCAUCAUCCCCCAGGUGAUGUCUGAUUACCCUAGCCUGUCUUCAGCAAGAAUUCUGUUAGGUCAGUUCAGCCAGAAUCUCCCUUAACUCUUAUGUUUCC
rnacentral:lncRNA from 1 species